rnacentral:lncRNA from 1 species
UUGCAGUAUAUUUUAAGUGCUUACAAUUUACAAGUGACUACUUUUACUAUAACACAAAUAACAAUAGCCAAUGUUUAUUGUUUCUAGUGCUUAAAAGGUGUAUUCUCAUUGAACCCUCAACGACUCCAUAAGGCAUUCGUUAUUAUCCCUAUUACACAGAUAGGAACACUGGGUCCCAGGAAUAUUGUGUGAGUUGCCUAAAGUUACACAGUGUGGACAGGUGGAGCCAGACAUGGAAAGCAGGCAGUCUGACUCUAAAACACACAGUUUCAACUAUUAUACCACAAAAAUAUCUGUCUAUCCUCAUUCGGAGACAAUGUCAAAGUUUAAAUUUAAGUUCUUUCAAGAAUAUGACACCCCCCCACACACACUUUCUGUAAUAGGCUCUAAAGAGACGUGCAAACAAACAGCUGGAUGUAGGAAAGCAUCAAAAGAAAAGUUUCCCAGAUCUGGAGAGCAACAGUUAAUGCCUAAACUCCUGUCCUGAGCUCUCUCCCUCAGGCAUCAAAUUCUACAUCCACACAAGCAUGGGAUGAAAAUACACCGACUAAUUGUGUUCUGCAGCUCUGAGUAGGUUACCACAAGUGCAAAGGGACAGGGUUUCUGAUAAUUAAGUCUCAAAAUUAACUCCUCAUUAAGACAAAUGAAGAAAGUGCAUUCCUUCCAGUGACAUCGUUUUAGUCUGGUUGCUGAUCCAGCAAAAUUAGCAGACAUUAAUUUACAUUCUCAAGAAAGGGAGGUGGGGGGACAUGGAAAUGCCUUACGGAAAAGAAGGCAAAUCUAGGUCACGGUUCAAGACCUCAACCAAAUGGACCAAAGGAUAGUUUAUUUGUGUCUGUUAACUCCCAAUUGCUUGGCAUCUGACCUCAGCAUGACAGGCUUAGAAGCAGGAAACCUAGGCUCGAGUCCAGUUCCUGCCACUUACUGGCACCAUAACCCUGGAAAAGGCAUCUGACCCUCUGAAUUUCAUUUUUAUCACCAUAAAAAUGAGGAUCAUAUGCCAACCUCACUGCACUUGGUGGGGGAGGGAGCUGUCCUCGUGGCCAUAACGUGUGCACAAGUUCUCUGGGGACUCCAUAGGCCACAAGUGAUAUAUCUUUGUUUAUUUCAUCAUUAAUGUGAACAGGGCCAACUAUUUUGUAUGACUAUAGUCCUUCCACCAGAAUAAUUCAGUUCAAAUGACAAAUUUUACAAACAGCUCAAGCCAAGAGUUGAGGAUCAGGGUCACUUGGUUCUUAUCGCCAC